UACGGAGGGCGCAAGCGUUAUCCGGAUUCACUGGGUUUAAAGGGUGCGUAGGCGGGUUGGUAAGUCCGUGGUGAAAUCUCCAAGCUUAACUUGGAAACUGCCGUGGAUACUAUCAAUCUUGAAUGUCGUGGAGGUAAGCGGAAUAUGUCAUGUAGCGGUGAAAUGCUUAGAGAUGACAUAGGACACCAAUUGCGUAGGCAGCUUACUACACGAAUAUUGACGCUGAGGCACGAAAGCGUGGGGAGCAAACAGG
rnacentral:rRNA from 1 species